UUGAAAUUACAAUGAAGUUAAAUGUUUCAAACUUUUUGUUUACAGGAAGAACAGACAUGCUCACAGUUCUGGCAAUGGGGUGGAACAAAAAGAAAAUGAGUAACAUGGACAAAAUAUUGGCCCAAAGAUAUGCUAAGGCCGUCCAGAGAGUGGCAGAUGAUAAGCUUAAGCUGGAGGAGCUCAAAGCUGAGUUAAGGAUUGAUGAUGCUGUUAUCCAACAGUGGGUCACUGAGGUGCAACACUGGCCUGAAGCAAAUUCUAGUUUGGAGGGUGAAGCCUCAAGGGAGGUCAUUCUGAAGAAGAAAAUUGAAGGACUGUACCUUAGUGUCAUGCAGAGGAAACAUCGCCUUUACCGUCAGACAGACAGCAACAAGAGACGACAUAAGAUGCGCCAGAAAAUUGCAGAGGAAAAGGCAGCUUUAUCUUCUGCUAUUGAAGAGCUACGUGAACAGACGGACAUCAUUCUGCCUGCUGUUGAUGAGCUUCUCUUGACUGAAAAUUUUGUGUGGUCCUGGACUUAUCUUGGACCCACUGAUCUCAGAACAAAGAAGGCCAUCUUUGACCAGGUGAUGGUGAUCAGGAGAAUGCAAGAGGAGGAGCAAAUUGUAGUUCAGGAGAUGAGGAGGCACUUGAACUCCCUCAUAGGUGUUGCUGGGAGUCUAAAAACCUUACUGCUGGACCAAAGCAAUGGCGCACACUGUGGAUAUCACAGCAUGUUGAGGAGGAGAUUGAGUGUUGUGAAUGCCCAAGUACAUCACACAAAAGCAUCAUUCAGCUUGGCUCUUCAUGGAGAAAUGACAUCCCAAGAUAUGCUGUCUGAGGACAGGGAGGAACAAGUGUCAGAUGUGGAGGACACAUCUGAUGAUGACAAUGACAUUGAUUCUUCAUAAGUACAUUGAGAUUAUUAAAUACCCAUGUCUAGUUCUUUGGGCUUCAAAACAGCUUAUGGUGCAUGAUGUGGUGCAUUAUCACCACAUCAUUUACAGGUAGUUCUCGACUUACGUCCAUUCGACUUUACGACCGUUUUAUGAAAGGUGAGCUACGAAUUUAAGAAUUAAGAAUUUAACUUAUAAUUCGUGCUUAGUUCUUUUUCUCAAAUGAAAAGCGAAUCAACAGCCGAAUUACAACCGAGACUUGCCUAAAUAGUAGCGGCCGUUGGCGUAGUGCACUACUUAGGCUUGCUUUCUAGUGUUGUAGUACGCGGUUUGAGAUUCAGCUAAAGAGCGCACAAUGGAAGAGAAGAGUAUUUUGAUUGACACUGGAAAAAAACAAUCACGAUCGGCACUCGGAAUAACAAGGGGUUGACCAUCAUCCCGGAAGAUAUGUUAUGUUCUGAAUUGCAAUUAGUGUUUUACUUUAAAUUAACUGUAAAAAAAAAAGAAAGUGUAUUAAUAGACGCUUCAAAUGACAUAAAAUGAACAAAGAAAAGUAUGACAUAUAACAAUAAUAAGGAAAAUGAUGAUAAAAUAUGAUUUAAAGAUUUUCAUAACAUCAUUACACAGUACUGUACAUAUAGCCUACUCGAGUUACGUCCAAUCAGCUUUACAACGGGUUUGUUGGAACCAGUCGUCGUCGUAAGUCGAGAACUACCUGUAAUUGCUUUGGCCAAUUCUGUGUUGGGUGGAGAAGACAUCUCUGGGAGUGAAAAACACUUUUUAUUAUUAAAUUUUAUAAUCUGUUCUUUUGAUCACAAAAAUUACAAAGGACACCUACUCAUUCACGUCUUAUUCGAGCUGUGCUGAAUUACUAUAUAUGUAUCACAGGCCUGAGAAUAGCCUGAAUUAAUUUCAUUGUUAUAUCUGUGUGUAUGUGUGUAAUUAUAUAAUUGAGGAGGCAGUUUUUGCACAGGAGACAAGACCCCUGAAGCUUGUAUAUAGUCUUCAUUGUGCAUAUACAGUUAAAUUUGCAUACUAUCAUGAAACGCGCUGUACACUUUCCAGUGCACAUAAUGGAUACUGCUGAAUUGGUAUUAUUCUGUGCAUUUAUCCUUAGUCUAAUGUUAAUAUGGACAAUUGUCAAG
ensembl:lncRNA